rnacentral:rRNA from 1 species
GGAUGAACGCUGGCGGCGUGCUUAACACAUGCAAGUCGAACGGAAAGGCUCCUGCUUGCAGGGGUACUCGAGUGGCGAACGGGUGAGUAACACGUGGGUGAUCUGCCCUGCACUUCGGGAUAAGCUUGGGAAACUGGGUCUAAUACCGGAUAGGACCGCAUUUUGGAUGGUGUGGUGGAAAGUUUUUUCGGUGUGGGAUGAGCUCGCGGCCUAUCAGCUUGUUGGUGGGGUAAUGGCCUACCAAGGCGUCGACGGGUAGCCGGCCUGAGAGGGUGUACGGCCACAUUGGGACUGAGAUACGGCCCAGACUCCUACGGGAGGCAGCAGUGGGGAAUAUUGCACAAUGGGCGCAAGCCUGAUGCAGCGACGCCGCGUGGGGGAUGACGGCCUUCGGGUUGUAAACUCCUUUCGCUAGGGACGAAGAGUAAUUGACGGUACCUGGAGAAGAAGCACCGGCUAACUACGUG